UGAAUAUGAAUAUGAAUCAUUUGAAUAUGAUUUUCUCUGCUCUUCUUUUGACCAGCCAGCCAUGGGUACUGUCUGGGCAAUUUUUGCUGCAGCUACUAAAGAUAAAUAACUUGGAACUGCUCAGGCUGGCUGAGUGAUUCGCUGUGCUCCUGGGCAGGGUGAAGGUGCUUGUGAACACAGCUACCAUGCAUCAUGAUGCUUCCUUAGAAUCCCUACAAGGAGAGAAAACGAUCAUGGACAGACCAGACCAUUUCUAAGUGAACAACAACAGCAACAACAAAAGCAAUAGAAAAGCGUUUAAGGGAUGAAGCUGAGAAGACUUCUCUGUACUGUCCCUUCACGAUGUCCUGGAUCUCCUGCAUUCAACGUUCCAGAAAGGUCACACUCUGCAUAAAUGGCCUGGAUUUUGUCUCAAAUUCCAGCACCAGUUUUCAGCGAGUGCCAGCAUCUCUUCUCGGAGGCCAUCUUCACACCUCCAAGUAGGAACCACGAUCCUCUCAGGACACUCUCAGGUUUCUUCUUUGUUUCCAAAUCUGUUGGGGAAAGAGCUAUAUCAGGAAUAUGCUCUGCAUGCCUGCCGUUCCAGCUGGGUGCCCUGCAUGCCU